rnacentral:rRNA from 1 species
UGGGGAAUAUUGCACAAUGGGGGAAAGACCCUGAUGCAGCGACGCCGCGUGAAGGAAGACGAUUUUCGGAUUGUAAACUUCUUUUCUUAGUGAAGAAACAAAUGACGGUAGCUAAGGAAUAAGCAUCGGCUAACUACGUGCCAGCAGCCGCGGUAAUACGUAGGAUGCGAGCGUUAUCCGGAUUUACUGGGUGUAAAGGGAGCGCAGGCGGGACUGCAAGUUGGAUGUGAAAUACCGCAGCUUAACUGCGGAGCUGCAUCCAAAACUGUAGUUCUUGAGUGGAGUAGAGGCAAGCGGAAUUCCGAGUGUAGCGGUGAAAUGCGUAGAUAUUCGGAGGAACACCAGUGGCGAAGGCGGCUUGCUGGGCUCUAACUGACGCUGAGGCUCGAAAGUGUGGGGAGCAAACAGGAUUAGAUACC